CCAGACUCCUACGGGAGGCAGCAGUGGGGGCUCUUUUACAAUGGGUUCCCCCCUGAUCCCGCUCCGCCGCGUGCUUUCCGAAGUAUUUCGUUCUGUAAAGCUCUUUCAGCAGCGCAGCCAGAAAUGACGUUACCUGACCAAGACGCCCCGGCUAACUACGUGCCAGCAGCCGCGGUAAUACGUAGGGGGCAAGCGUUAUCCGGAAUUACUGGGUGUAAAGGGAGCGUAGACGGUGAUGCAAGUCUGGAGUGAAAGGCGGGGGCCCAACCCCCGGACUGCUCUGGAAACUGUAUGACUUGAGUGCAGGAGAGGUAAGCGGAAUUCCUAGUGUAGCGGUGAAAUGCGUAGAUAUUAGGAGGAACACCAGUGGCGAAGGCGGCUUACUGGACGGUAACUGACGUUGAGGCUCGAAAGCGUGGGGAGCACACAGGAUUAGAUACCCCUGUAC
rnacentral:rRNA from 1 species